GAUGAACGCUGGCGGCGUGCCUAAUACAUGCAAGUCGAGCGAACGGACGAGAAGCUUGCUUUUCUGAUGUUAGCGGCGGACGGGUGAGUAACACGUGGAUAACCUACCUAUAAGACUGGGAUAACUUCGGGAAACCGGAGCUAAUACCGGAUAAUAUUUUGAACCGCAUGGUUCAAAAGUGAAAGACGGUCUUGCUGUCACUUAUAGAUGGAUCCGCGCUGCAUUAGCUAGUUGGUAAGGUAACGGCUUACCAAGGCAACGAUGCAUAGCCGACCUGAGAGGGAGAACGGACAGACGGGAACAGAGACACGGCCCAGACUCCUACGGGAGGAAGCAGUAGAGAAUCUUCCGGAAUGGAGGAAAGCGUAAUGGAGCAACGCCGCGGGAGUGAUGAAGGUCUUCGGAUCGGAGAACUCUGUUAUUAGGGAAGAACAUAUGUGUAAGUAACUGUGCAGAUCUUGACGGUACCUAAUCAGAAAGCCACGGCUAACUACGUG
rnacentral:rRNA from 1 species